rnacentral:rRNA from 1 species
AGGGAAUCUUCCGCAAUGGGCGAAAGCCUGACGGAGCAACGCCGCGUGAGUGAUGAAGGUCUUCGGAUCGUAAAACUCUGUUAUUAGGGAAGAACAUAUGUGUAAGUAACUGUGCACAUCUUGACGGUACCUAAUCAGAAAGCCACGGCUAACUACGUGCCAGCAGCCGCGGUAAUACGUAGGUGGCAAGCGUUAUCCGGAAUUAUUGGGCGUAAAGCGCGCGUAGGCGGUUUUUUAAGUCUGAUGUGAAUGCCCACGGCUCAACCGUGGAGGGUCAUUGGAAACCGGAAAACUUGAGUGCAGAAGAGGAAAGUGGAAUUCCAUGUGUAGCGGUGAAAUGCGCAGAGAUAUGGAGGAACACCAGUGGCGAAGGCGACUUUCUGGUCUGUAACUGACGCUGAUGUGCGAAAGCGUGGGGAUCAAACAGGAUUAGAUACCCUGGUAGUCCACGCCGUAAACGAUGAGUGCUAAGUGUUAGGGGGUUUCCGCCCCUUAGUGCUGCAGCUAACGCAUUAAGCACUCCGCCUGGGGAGUACGACCGCAAGGUUG